GUGCAUCCGGUUUUUCAUGUAUCCCAAUUGAAGGGCCAUGUGCCAGAUCACAGUCCUGUGUUCACCACAUUACCAGUACCGGUGGAUUUGUCAGCACCAGGUGUCAUUCCUGAAGAAAUUCUCGAUCGUCACUUGGUCAAGAAGGGGAAUGCAGCGCAUUUGCAGAUUUUAGUCAAAUGGGCUACUGUACCUGCUGCAUCCGCAACCUGGGAAGACUAUGAGGUGCUCAAGGCUAGAUUUCCGAGCGCACCAGCUUGGGGACAAGCUGGUUCUUCAGGGGCGGGUACUGUAAGCAGCGGCUCACAGGCGAUCGGCGAUGAUGCGGUUCAGAAGACAAGCGGCGCGUACAGGAGAGGCAAGGAGAUUUAA
rnacentral:rRNA from 1 species